rnacentral:tRNA from 1 species
GCGCCCUCGUAGCUCAGGGGGUAGAGCGUCGGUUUCCUAAACCGAUGCUCCGUGUGUAGCCGCAGGCCGAUGACCUACGGCUCUUCUCUUUUCAGGUGUCCUGCGCCGGUCGCA